AUUUGGCCCCAUGCCAUAUACAUGAGGUAUAGGUGAUGAGAAGUUCCACAGCAACCACAGGUAAAUGCUUCUGAAGGAGCUUAAACACUUGAGUAAAUACUUUGCUGAUACCCGUCUCCCAAUGACUUUUGCAGCUUUUGGAACAUGUUAAAGGACAUUUUUUAGAGCAUCAAACAUCUCACAAAGUGUACCGGCUGCAUUUCAUCAUUGUAUCAUCAUUACAGCGUAUAGGAGUGAGAAAAAAAGGAAAGAUAACAAGACAUGGAUAAAUGGAUACAUGCCUGUCUGAUCAAUAUCAUUUUAAUAUGUCUAAAGAUAAGCAAAAGAGAGAGAGAGGGAGCUAGAGUGACAAGAACAAAAGAGGAAAGUUUACAACGACUAAAAGAAACCAGAUCAAUCCAGCAGCAUCUGUGGUUACAGUGGGAAUGAUACAUGUUGAAUGGAAGAUGUCUCUAACAAGAUAUUCCUGAAUUUUUGGUAAUUACCAGUAUGAUGGUUUGG